rnacentral:rRNA from 1 species
UACGAAGGGGGCUAGCGUUGUUCGGAUUUACUGGGCGUAAAGCGCACGUAGGCGGGUUGUUAAGUCAGGGGUGAAAUCCUGGAGCUCAACUCCAGAACUGCCUUUGAUACUGGCAACCUAGAGGCUGGAAGAGGUUAGUGGAAUUCCCAGUGUAGAAGUGAAAUUCGUAGAUAUUGGGAAGAACACCAGUGGCGAAGGCGGCUCACUGGCUCGAUACUGACGCUGAGGUGCGAAAGCGUGGGGAGCAAACAGG